GAUUCUGGCUCAGGAUGAACGCUAGCGACAGGCUAACACAUGCAAGUCGAGGGGCAGCACGGGAGUAGCAAUACUUGGUGGCGACCGGCGCACGGGUGAGUAACGCGUAUGCAACCUACCUAUCAGAGGGGAAUAACCCGGCGAAAGUCGGACUAAUACCGCAUAAAACAGGGGCACCGCAUGGUGAUAUUUGUUAAAGAAAUUCGCUGAUAGAUGGGCAUGCGUUCCAUUAGGUAGUUGGUGAGGUAACGGCUCACCAAGCCGACGAUGGAUAGGGGAACUGAGAGGUUGGUCCCCCACACUGGUACUGAGACACGGACCAGACUCCUACGGGAGGCAGCAGUGAGGAAUAUUGGUCAAUGGGCGGGAGCCUGAACCAGCCAAGUCGCCGUGAAGGAAGAAGGAUCUAUGGUUCGUAAACUUCUUUUGCAGGGGAAUAAAGUGCAGGACGUGUCCUGUUUUGUAUGUACCCUGAGAAUAAGGAUCGGCUAACUCCGUGCCAGCCGCCGC
rnacentral:rRNA from 1 species